rnacentral:rRNA from 1 species
AUUGAACGCUGGCGGCAGGCCUAACACAUGCAAGUCGAACGGUAACAGGAAGAAGCUUGCUUCUUUGCUGACGAGUGGCGGACGGGUGUGUCAUGUCUGGGAAACUGCCUGAUGGAGGGGGAUACCUACUGGAAACGGUAGCUAAUACCGCAUAACGUCGCAAGACCAAAGAGGGGGACCUGCGGGCCUCUUGCCUUCGGCUGUGCCCAGAUGGGAUUAGCUAGUGGGUGGGGUAACGGCUCACCUAGGCAACCAUCCCUAGCUGGUCUGAGAGGGGUACCCGCCAAAUCGGAACUGAGACACGGGCCAGACUCCCAAGGGAGGCAGCAGGAGGGAAUAUUGCGCAAUGGGGGAAAGCCCGAAGGAGGAAAGGCGAGUGAGUGAAGAAGGGCUUCGGGGUUGAAAAGUCUUUUAGGGGGGAAGAAAGGAGGUAAAAUUAAACCUGUGCGUCUUGACGGUACCCAAAAAGAAAGGCACGGCUAAAUUCGUG